ACGCUUGAUGGGGCAAUGCGGAAUUGCCCAAAUGGGGUUCCUAGCGAUCAAUGCUAGAUUCUUGUCACUUUUUGGAACUUUGAUGAGGGCAAGAAAUGGAGUGGCAUAGCUAGAGGAAAUCAGUCCCAACAAAAAUACACACUCUGGGGGACCAAGAGUAAUGCAAGAUUGCGUCAUGAGAUGAUGCAGGAAACCGGUGAUGGGACACAACCAAGCAAGGGAGUUGUGUGGAUCGAAACACAUAGAAGGAAAGAUGGGGUGCCUGUAGAUGCAAAAUCGGGAAGGGCAAUGGAACACAACGGGCCAUGACUUCUGGUGGGUCGUCAACCCCUAAUGAUGAUGACUUUGAUCAAAUAUUUGGAGCGGAACGACAUGGGUACGUGCGGACGUAUGGAUUGGGUGUUACUCCUUCCACUCUGAGCAUGAGUUGUAGAAAUAGAGCAUCAGAGUCUACAUCAACAAGAGGAGGCUGUGGGCAUGAGGAUAGUGAUGAACGACUUAGGCGGAUAGAAGAUAGCUUUGAAAAGGUGACUAGAGCAUGUAGUGAUGUACAACACCAGGUGGGAAGGAUAACAUUCAUGCUUCCUCAAAAUCUUCAAGGCAUUCUAAACGAUGAUCGGGAUUAAUUUACUACCUUCAAGAGGUGCAGAGGUUCCUGAUCUAUCGAGUGCACCACGUGAAGCAUCAUAGCCUGUCCACGUGAAGCAUCAGAACAUGAGCCAGCAUCCUCGUAUAGCCAAUAUUAUAAGAUGUUAACUAUAAUAAGAAUAUAAGACCAAAGCUUAAAAAGGAAGUUAGCUAAUGCUGGUUCUAGCUACUCGGGUUCUUUGGAGGGGCGGGGAUGUACCAACCUAACCUGGAAUUUUUAUGCAUGAAGUGUUUUCUCUUUUACACCUGCAUUCUCACACUUUUCAGCCCAAGAUUUUACCAUUUUACCAUGCAAUGACCCCCUUAAUAAGACCUUGUGUUUAAUGGAACAAAAUAUUGGAAUAGAACUAAAGUAAGGAUGUUGAGGUUGAUGAAUGGAAAGAUUAAGAAGGAGAAAAUUAAGAUCAAGGACAUCCUAGGUCCCCCCCUCCCCAGCUUCCAAAGAAGGUACAGAGUUGAAAGUUUCAACUUACUCUCAGGGAAUGGCCGUCUUACUCUCAGGGAGCUGAAACGUGGAAAUCUUAUUGCUGCAAUGCAACAUGCAAAUGAGGAAGAGGAUAUUAACAAAGUUCUGAGGCAAGGCAGUCUUAUUCAGCUAAGUGCAUGCCUGAUGCUGAGUCAUUGAAUUAUGUUUAGUUUAUUUCUAUCUCCAGUCAUUAAAAUUGUCUGUUUUUUUGUUGAACUGGAAAAAUUAGGUGAGUGGGGGUGGAGAUGACCACACACCAAAGGAGGAUCUUAACAGCACCUUCAUCAAUCAAGCCUCUUGGGAGCGCCAGCCUGUAACUUCUCGAGGAAAAGAAAGAACAAAUGAAAGAAAAUAUGAUUCGAUUUGAAACAAAGCUUACAAAUAUUGAAGCUUCAUGUUGUCUAUAGUUCAAUUUCAACUUAUCAAAAUUUUCACACCAUAAAACUAACUAUUUAGGGCUGAUGAUUCCCUUGUUCUACAAUAUAGUCAUUUUAAUUAGUUUGUAAUCUAGCAUUUGGUAGCAUUUCCAUUUUUACUAUUAUUUCUAU